GAGGGUGUAGCUCAGUGGUAGAGUGCAUGCCUAGCAUGCGAGAGGUCCUGGGUUCAAUCCCCAGUCCCUCCA
rfam:Camelus ferus unplaced genomic scaffold scaffold1089, whole genome shotgun sequence.